rnacentral:rRNA from 1 species
ACCAGCAGCAUAUCACCCUGCAUCCCACUGCCUGCUGGCUGCUUCUGAAGCUAAGCAGGGUUGGUCCUGGUCAGUCCCUGGACAUGAGACCAGAUGCUGCUAGAA